CCUCGUCAGGACCUGGCUCUGCCCUCAGAGUCAGGCUGGAUCCAGGAGUGAUUCAUCUUACACAGAUGAGAGGGGGAUAGGAAGAAAAGAACAGUCAGGACAAAUGUGUUUUCGAUGGUGCUUAGCAGCAGGGAGACCAUUGAGACUUCAGAGCAAUGCUACUGGAGUGUGACAUCAUAAUACGCUACACACCAAGGUCUCCCUCCCACCUCUUCAGAGUUUAUGGGCCAAUUUCUCCCAAGAUGUGUGAGCUCGUUUUGCGGGUGGACUCCAGGGCUGCUGGCUGGCCAGGCCAGAGAGUGGCAGCGACUGGAUGUCUGGAAACCCCAGUGGAUUGUGAAAUGAACGAGGCUCUCUGCGCCCCCGAUCAGGCCCCUUUGAGCCCUGGGCUCCGGGAGCGAGCAUCUCCCAGCUCCUAAAGAGCUGACAUAUAUCCUGCCUUUAAGACAAGACUACAAUUGCAAAUCCGAGAAUAUAAAUUACACUUUCAUCUUU